rnacentral:rRNA from 1 species
UACGUAGGGGGCUAGCGUUGUUCGGAAUUACUGGGCGUAAAGCGCACGUAGGCGGAUAUUUACGUCAGGGGUGAAAUCCCGCAGCUCAACUGCGGAACUGCCUUUGAUACUGGGUAUCUUGAGUAUGGAAGAGGUGAGUGGAAUUGCGAGUGUAGAGGUGAAAUUCGUAGAUAUUCGCAGGAACACCAGUGGCGAAGGCGGCUCACUGGUCCAUAACUGACGCUGAGGUGCGAAAGCGUGGGGAGCGAACAGG